rnacentral:lncRNA from 1 species
GCAACCCAGCUUUGGCACACAGUGUAGCAGCUGUUAUGGUUCUCCACGUAUGUUUCUCUGUGUGUGUCAUGUCUGCACACACAGAGAUAGCUGAGCCUCCGUCCUCCUCAGCUCCUAUCUUCCCAGUGCAAUGAACACCAGCUGUUCCCUUCCUCUUUGGCUCCCAUGGCAUCCACAAUCUCUUGCAGAAAAAGGAGGAGUGCCUGUUCCCUCUUACAGGGAGCCACCCGUUUGCUUUUUGGGACAAUUCUCUUAUACCUCUGUCAAAACUGGCUAGGACUCCCUGGGUCCAACUGAGGGUCCAAUUUCUCUGUGUUUAAUCUUUUGUCAUCUCUCUCCCCACUGGCUCAUCAGGGAGGUGCUGAAGGCUGAAGAAAAGGAAGUCCCUGAGGACUCACUAGAGGAAUGUGCCAUCACUUGUUCAAAUAGCCACAGCCCUUCUGACUCCAACCAGCCACACAGGAACACCAAAACCACAUUUGAGGAAGACAAAGUCGACUCUACACUGGUUAUAGACAGUGAAUCCUCUCAUAAUGAAUGGGAGGAUGCUCUACACAUUCUCCCAGAAAAUCAAAGUGAUCAUGAGGAAGAGGAAGAAGGGCCAGUGUCUCCCAGGUAACACUGUGGAAUUGUGGGCUGUUACUUCAAUAGUGACACUUGGAGACUGCAGAUCCAGAGAAAACAAGGAAGUGAUGAAUAGAACUAUUUCUUCCAUUCACCCAGCUACAAAUUGUCCUUAUUAACACUGUUGGGGGCUAUUCAUGGCACUUGUAUUGGUUUUAAUUUUGUAGUCCUCUCAAGACAGGAACCUGCAAUCAGAUGAGCCAGGUGAACUAACCAAACAGGGAUUUCCUGGUGUUGCCUGUUCUCUCCCACGUGUCUAAAUCCAGGGAGAGAUGCAUAUAUGCUUUCUGCCCAUUUGUUGUUAGUAUGUUUGCUAGUAUCUGUGCAAGAGAAGAAAUUCAGAAAAUAAACAUAUAUCAAAAUAUUGGAAAAAGGAGGCCCUUAAUACACAGGCUGUAUGUCUGCACUGCCUCAAGAGCUCUGUUCACUUGAAUGAUGCAUGUAAAAUUCAACAUAAUUUAUGUAAAGUAGUUAAAGUCCUGUGUCAGUUCUCUGUGCUGCAAGUCAUGAUGGUAGUUUACAGGGAGAGUCUGGGUGCUCUGCAGUGGCUCAUCUGUGGCAAAUGCACUGAGCAUGACCAGCACAUUUUCGAUCUCUCCCCAAGACAGUCACUUUCCACCCUGCAUUUAGAAG